CUAAUAUUCGGAAACGAUAUUAAAAGAGUCGACUCGAAACAAGACACGACUUAAUAUGUGUGCAGGUUAGAGUUGAUGUUUUUGACAUGUAUAAAUAACGAAUCAUGUCCGGGUUCAAAUGUUCAACCCAGCAAACUGUCAACCUGACACGACUAACAUUUUAACACCCCUAAUUAUAUAAUACUCUAAUUUAUAACAAUUCUAUGCAAUGAAGGUUGUACAUGUUGCUUAAAGUGAGUUUUGUGCUUUUAUUACUUGAAACCUUAGCUUUGGAAGUUGUACAUUUCUUUCUACCAUGUCCAACACAUAUACCUGUCCUCAACACCCUUGCCCAAUACCCACCGUCGUCUCCGGUUGGCCACCAUCAUCGGAAAGUCCACUCUUUUUCCUGCCUUGGUGGAUCAGCUUGAAAAUGAACAAGAAGAAGAUAUGCCCGAUUGUUCUGGUCAUUCUCUUAUUACAGAGUAUGAACGCCGUUGAAAGCUCUGAGUUCUUCACUAUAAGUGGUUGGAGUGCUAGAGCUAACAAGCAGUCGUAAGUUCCCAAUAUCUUUGAACAUUGAUGUCCACCAGGUGUUUAAGUUAAUUAGGGUAGAAACAUAUGUCUAUGGAUGCUAUUACCUGCUACUAUAACAUUGAUGCCCACCAGGUGUUUGUGUAUAUGUCUCAGUGACCAUAGCAUAAGAUGUAGUUGAAUUAUGUUGGGUUUUAUAACUAAAGCAUGCAAUUCGCAUGCCCUGUCAUAUAUUUUAUAAUAGUAUAAUUUGUAUCAUUUCUAUGAUAUAAAGGCCGUACCUUGUGCUUAAAUGGUGUUUCUUUGAAAUAGAUAGACAUAUUCCUUUUCUUAUAGAAAUCAUGCCGCCAAACUCAUACAUACACAUCUAGAGAGAGAGAAUGAGAAUGGCGUCGCAUCAGAGAGAGAGAGAGAGAGACCGAUGAAAGGGAGAGGAAGCCGGCCACCCCAACCUGAUGAAGGGGAUGAUGGCGACGGCUUAUGGCUGAGGUCUUUAUUCCGACAGCCAGAUUGGCAGCGAUGGCGGCUAGGGUUCGAGUUUAGGGGUUUUGAAACCAGAUUGUGAAGGUGUUGAGGACAACCAAUAGUCGGAGAAACUAUUUAAACAGGUAGCUGUACCUAUGGCUUAAUUUGUUUUUCGUGCAUAUUUAAGGUGUACAUCUGGUUAUGUUAGUUGUACACUUUUGCAAGCUCUAUGUUUCAUAUGGGUUUUAGAGACAUAGAAAGACGGUGGAGUUUACGGUGAUGUACCCGAAGGCGAACGGCGUCGCUUCUCACUUCCGAUGCGUACAUGACCGCCACAAAAAAAUCAGCGACGAGGAGUGUAAUCCGGUGAAGUCUGACGUGUUUCCGUCUGGCUAUUUAGGUUUCUUGUGGUGCUUGGGUUGUAAGCUUCCAAAGAAGAGGGUUUAUACAUGUACAUCUCACCCACACCCACGCACCUGAUUUUUUAGUUGCCUUUUUUCAAUUUUGUUCUUAUCUCUAUGUUCGCCAAUAUAUCUCUUAUCGGGUCGGCCCUUAUUAUGUUUGUAUCCAAAACCGUGUUUUGUGGCUAUGCGCAUGUAGAAUUACUACUCUAUGUAAACAAAACAUAGGAUCGUAUAGGUUUUGGUGUAGUGGAAAGGAAUAACUUGGAUAUCUCAGGUAACAUCUUUGUUGCAGCCUUUUUCUACAAUCGUGGUUGCUACAAUUGAAGAUGGAUGUAUGAGAUGAUUUACCAGUAGCAAGUGAAACUGAUAAUCAAGCAGCAAUAGAACCUCACAAAAACAAGCAGGGUUACAUUUCCCAAUCUGCUGUGGUAUUAUGCUGUCCGUUGGAUCUGUUGCAAAGGUUUGCUAAUCUCCUUCAAAAGGCUAUAAAGUCAGACCGUAUAAUUAACAACAACCUUAAUGAGCUAACCAAACUGGUUAGUAGCAUCUGCCAAAAACAAGCCGCAUUACAAGUUGAAGUAGACGUGCUUAGCACACUUUUCUAGGGAAAACGAUGUUAAUGAAGAAAAAACUUAUAUGUCGUUAGUAGGUUAAAUAGUUGGUUGUUAAUUUUGGUUACCAAAUGUAAACAAUAAACAAUAAACAAUUGUACAUAUAUUUCGGUAUUUAUCGUAAUCUAAGUUUGUAAACAAAAUCACCAAAAGUUUGACAACAUAUGCUCAAGCCCCCGCCGCAUCGCGGCGGGGCA